UUUUGUUCAUGACUGCAUUUUC
rnacentral:miRNA from 1 species